UGUUAACUAGUGAGAAAUAGGACGUAUUCUUUGUGAAAGGGGGGGAGUAGCAGAUUGCUGUUAAAAAGGCAGCUGAAUUUAACACCAUCUGGGGAAAAAAGCUCCCUCCACGACUUUCUCACACCAUCAGACAAAACUAGUGUCUCUUGUUCUUAGCCCUUGUCUAUGCAGCCACACAAUACUAAGUCAUUAUACUUUUGCUGAGAGAAAAUAUGAGAACACAAUCUGGG